CUAGUGCUAAAAGAGGCUGUGAGGAUGGGGCAGUGGACUCACCUGCGAGUCGACUAGGCGGGGGGCAUGGCAGCUCCUCAGACGCCCUCUGACCUCCGUGGGAGCCAUCUUCCAGCGUGCAGCCGCGAGCCGCACCUGACGCUAAGGCCCCCUGGGCGCAUGCGCAGCAGCGCCCACUUCCGGCCUCCCGGACCCCGCCCCGUGGAGAUGCGUUGCUCUGCGGGUCCUCGACCAGCCAGCCUCCUGGGUGAGUUCUCGGCUCCUGAAACCGCCGGUCUGCGGGGCCAGCCUCUCUCCAGUCCCUCCUCACCCUCCCGCCCUCUGUGUACCAGGUCCGUUUUGAAACGCACCCUGGACCUCCUGAGGUUGUGGACCCACCGGCUAGCAACAAAACUUUCUUCAUGUUUGUUAGUAAAUUUUAUAUAGGAGACAGAAGCUGCUCACAGCUUGUGCUUAAAUUCCAUCACCGGGGAAAUGUUUGCAAAGAUUUCUCAUGUCUUGUAAAUGUUGGGAAUCCAGAUUUGCCUAGAGCGUGGACGGAGAAGAUGACGUCUCCACUGGUAGCUUCCUUGGCUCAUAGCACCUGCUUCCCAGGGAAUUCCUCUCCAAACAGAUGGAGUGAGGUGUUCCUCAGCAUGUUGGGUACCUCUCACAUGAGGGUGCAGUUCUGCCAAGAUCUCCGCCUUCUCCAUGAGUGUGUGAGCUCCUGAGGCCUGGCAUAUACUUGUUAUAUCAUAAAUGUAUUCUGAAUGAAUGAAAGGAUAAAUUUUAAAAAGGUGGUAUGGUGAUUAUAAAAGACAGCCCUCAGAGAGGAUGCCAGAGACAAGGAUGCGAUAUAAGGUAGAUAUGGGCAAUAAUAAUUCGACUUCAGGUGUAUAUUCAGUUCUCAAUUAUUUCUCAUAACAACCUUGUAAAAUAGGAAGGAUAGUUAUAUUCCUUAUGUUACUGAUAAAGAAAUUAGACUUAGAGUAAGUGAUUUAUUCAGGGUCACAAAACUAAUUAUUUGCAAAGCUGAGAUCAGAAUAUAGGUCACCUUUCUCUUACCCCAAUGCUUGAUAUGAUGAUUGAGUAAUUUUUUUCAUGUUUUUAUUCAAAUAUUUGGUGAUGGAUGAUAAGUCAGAGAUGGAUAUGGGGUUUUGUAGGGAACAAAAGAAGCCUGAGGACAUUUGAAAAUAAUGAGCAGUCUUGGAAAUGAAGCUAAUGAGAAGUACCACGUUUACAUAUACAUAAGGUAUGAUAGCGGUGGGGGGUAUGAGAGCAGGCACCCCAUGGAGUAACAGUUCACGAAAAGAGUAGACUCAUUACACACAUUCAAGAUAUUUUAGAUUGAGUGGUCCUAUGGUACAGAAGUAUUGCUAUGGGAUGAAAAGUCCCUUACAAAAUACUUGUGAAUACCCUGAAUAUGGAGACAAGACUUUUGUAGAGGGACCAGAAAAGUUUCUGAUAUGCCCACAGCACAUAUCCUUUUGGGAUCCUAGGAUUCUCGUGGAUUGGGGCAAAGUGGACUUUUGCCCUGCCAGCUCACCUGGAUGAGUUACCUCACCUCCUUUUGUUGUUAGUGGCUGUUAAUGGAGGUAUGUUAUGUAGAACGCUCUAGUCUUCUCAUAUCCCAGCUUUGGCAGGAAAAACAAAGCAUUUUGAUUCAAAUGUUUAUUUUCCAGCCAACUCAUUCCUCAACUCCUUGUUCUAGGUUAGACUUGUCAUCUUGAAGCAUUAUUUAAAAAUCUAGAUUCUGAGACUACCUGUGAAGAUUAAUCUAAGAUGGAGAAGGAAUAAUUGACACCUGUGCUUUUUCCUAAUCUCAGCCAGUAACUCCAACAUGCAUAUCCAUUUCGGUGAAUUGAUUUCUGUAUGUAAGAGAGAAAGGGGAAGUACUAGAAAAAAAAAAGAACAAUGAGUAUGGUGAGCCCUAAUUUCCUAAGAUCAUAGGACAAUAAUAUGAAGGUUUUUUAAAAGGUUAAAAAAUAGACUGACCAAAAAAAAAAAAAAAAAGAAAAAGAAAAAAAGAGCAAACAUAUGAUCCUGAGGUACCACUUCUCAGUAUAUAUACAAAGGAAAUGAGGUACUAUGUUGAAGAGACAUCUGCACUCCCAUGUACAUUGCAGCAUUAUUUAUAAUUGCCAUGAUACAGAAAUGACCUAAGUGUCUGUUGAGGGAUAUAUGGAUAAAGAAAAUGUGAUAUGUACACACACACAUACACUUUGUCUCUUCUUAAAUAUUCAGUCUUGAAAAGGAAGGAAAUCCUGCUAUUUAUGAAAACAUUGAUGAACCUGGAGGACAUGAUGCUCAGUGAAUUAAACCAGACACAGGAAGAUAGUUAUUGCAUGGUCUUGCUUUUAUAUGUGGAAGAUCGGGGAGAUGGGGAUAUGUAGGUCAAAGGGUAUAAAGGUUCAGUUAUGUAAGAUGAGUCAAUUCUGGAGAUCUAGUAUAUAGCAUGAUGGCUGUAGUUAAUACUGCAUUAUAUACUUAAAAUUUGCUAAGAAAUGUUCUCAUUAUGCACAAACAAAAAUCAUAACUUUCAAAUAAUGGAUAUAUUAAUUAGCUUGAUCAUGAUGCUCAUUUCACAAUGAAUACAAAUAUAUAUGAAAUCAUAUUCUACACCUGUGUAAAUAUAUAUAAUUUUUAUCUAUUAAGUAUACUUCAGUAACGCUAGAAAGAAAAAAAGAUUGGAGCAAACCAAUUCUUAGAGAAGUAUUUCUGGAAGCAAAAAGUUCAAGGAAAAGGCAAGAAAGAAAACGAGAGGCAUAUGGAUCCAGAAUGAGGUGAACAUGACCUAUAGGCAGUAGCCUUGGUUGGAGAAGGGACCCCAAGAAAAUCUUCUGCCAGGACAGGAAAAGAACAUUACCACGUCCCAUUGGAUCCUUGAGAAACUUCUCUUAUGAAGAGCAGGAGUUCGUGAAGUAAGUCCUUAAAAUCACAUCUGUUCACCUUAUGUGACGGGAAGGAGAGGCGACUUCUGAAGCAGGGUGAUUGAAAUGGAAAUACAUUCAAAUAAAUGGACUCUGGGCUCCACUUUGUUCUAAAUAACCUCUACUUAUUUACUAUUGGAACAAAAGUCCAUGGUAGAUGAAAGGCAUUAUGUGUGGAGUCAAACGAUGGGGUUAAAAUGGUAGCAUCCUGCCUCACCAUAGAAGCACCUCCAGUUCUAAUGGAGAGAUAGAGACAAUCUUUCUUACACAAGGCUCAUGAUAGCAACAUCCAGCUGCUUUCUUCAUAAGAAGACUAGGAAAGUACGAUGAAAACUAUGUGGAGAAAUAUAAACUUAAAGAAAUGCUAAAUAGUCCUAUGCAAGUCUGGCCUCUUCAAAACCAGGAUGUGGUGUCUUGGGUCUGUCCUAGCGCUACUCUGAAACUUGCACUUGGUGGUGCACCCAGUACGUGGACAGGCUUCAUUUUUCAAGUUCCAGCUUACAACCCACCACCACUAUUUCUGAUGUCUCUAGCUCCCAGAAGUCUCUUCCUCCUUUUGAUUCCGAUGGUUGUGGUUAACCUGACUCCAGCAUUAUUCAUCUCAAGCUACAGGAAUGUUGAGCACUACUUCCCCUUCACCAAAACAAGAAAAAAAUACAGAUACUACAUGGCUCAUUACUUCAGGGUGAGAGGCUACUGCAUACAUGUGCAUCUGCUAAUGAAUCUGGACCUCCCCCAACAGACUGCCUAGACAGGGGAAGCCGAGAUACGGGGCUCUGCUCCACAUGGUUAGUCAAGCACUCAAGGUCCUUCCAUCUUUAGUUACUGUCAUCAUCAACAUGUAGCUUUUCAUGCUCACUGUGUUCACGAUGCUUACCACUGAAAGAGGAGAGAAGACCCACCUGCUCUUAGCCAUCACAGUCUGUGCUUACCAAACCCAAAAUCAGAAACAGAUUAAUGGAUUCAUUAAUUUGACAUAAGCUGGAAUUUUGUAUCUCUUCCUGUGAGAGUGAAACCUGAGGAUGAAAUUGAUUUGGUAACUUAAAAACUAAUGAGACAGUAUGGACUUGAGAUAUGAGAGCUAUUUUCAGAGAGGAGAUGGAACAUAAGAAGAAUAUGGACAAUUUGGAAUACAUGGAGAGCUCCCCAGGUGAUUCUAAUGCUCAGCUUGAGUAGAAAACUACUGGCCUAGAUGAUUAAUAGAGGCACUAAUGGAGGAGAAGGAAGAGAAAGCCCCAGACCAUACGCUAAACCAGUCUUAAAAUUGGCAUAGACACAGGCCCACAUCUGGAAGAUAUUAGUCUGCCCGAAGGAAUUCAGCCUGUGAACUGGAAUGUUUUGCCUCCAUGUAUAAGAAUGAUUUUCAUGCUGGAAAAAAGAAGACCACAUUGUGAUGAAGAGGAGGUGGGCUAGGAAAAUAGCAAAAGGUUUUGCUUGUUUCAUUGGGAUUUGAUGGAGUGUGAGCUCCUCAAAGGCAGGAGCUAUGACUUAUUUGUCUCUUUGGAAUAGUACUUUCCAUGGUGGCCAGCAUAUGAAAGAGCCUGCAAUGUGAUGGCAUUUGCCUUGCCUGAGGAACGAAGAGACAGUUUUUCCUCUCUCAACAAUCCUGCACAUUGAGAUCUGACCAGAGCAUUCUCAAGCUGAUUCCAAAUGCGUUCCCUGGAAAGGGGAGAGAAGACUUGCUCAUCCCCAUUGUCACUGAGUGGGAGAAUGUUCUGCCAAGUCUCCUGACAGAUUUCUUAGUCAAAGAGAAAAGGUCUGUAGUGCUUAGAAAACAAAGCUAUUUCAGGUUGCUUGGCUGUGAGCUGAUAAACAAGGCCUGAGGUGAGAAAUGCAAAACGUGGGUGUGUGUACACACAUACCCACACACACAAGCAAGGGCCUCCGGUCAGUUGAAGACAGAACUGACAUACUUAGCAGUCAAGCCACAUUGCUUUCUUUCUGACCUGUUGGCUACAUAUUCAGUUGAUAGCUUCCUGCUACCUAUCACAAAACAAUAAAAAUCUUUUAAGA